GUGCCAGAAGCAUCGGUAAUACGAAGGGUGCAAGCGUUACUCGGAAUUACUGGGCGUAAAGCGUGCGUAGGCGGUUUGUUAAGUUAGAGGUGAAAGCCCAGGGCUCAACCCUGGAACUGCCUUUAAUACUGGCAAUUUUGAGAUUUGGAGAGGUGUGUGGAAUUCCUAGUGUAGAGGUGAAAUUCGUAGAUAUUAGGAAGAACACCAGUGGCGAAGGCGGCACACUGGCCAAAAUCUGAGGCUGAGGCGCGAAAGCGUGGGGAGCAAACAGGAUUAGAUACCCUGGUAGUCCACGCCGUAAACGAUGUGUGCUAGCCGUCGGGCAGUUUACUGUUCGGUGGCGCAAGUUAACGCGUUAAGCACACCGCCUGGGGAGUACGGUCGCAAGAUUAAAACUCAAAGGAAUUGACGG
rnacentral:rRNA from 1 species